rnacentral:lncRNA from 1 species
CUACAAGUAUUCAUCUCCUCCUCCUCCUUACCACUAUCCCUCACCACCACCUCCAGAGCAUUUACCUCCACCAGUGUACAAAUACAAGUCCCCACCACCACCUCAUCAUGUUUACAAGUACAAAUCUCCACCACCCCCACCACCACACCCAGUUUACAAGUAUAAGUCGCCACCACCACCUCCUCAUCCGGUACCACACCCAGUUUACAAGUAUAAGUCACCACCACCACCUCCUCAUCCGGUACCACACCCAGUUUACAAGUAUAAGUCACCACCACCACCUCCUCAUCCGGUAUACAAGUAUAAGUCUCCUCCGCCACACCACACCCAGUUUACAAGUAUAAGUCACCACCACCACCUCCUCAUCCGGUACCACACCCAGUUUACAAGUAUAAGUCACCACCACCACCUCCUCAUCCGGUAUACAAGUAUAAGUCUCCUCCGCCACCACCACACCCAGUUUACAAGUAUAAGUCACCACCACCACCUCCUCAUCCGGUACCACACCCAGUUUACAAGUACAAGUCACCACCACCUCCUCCCCCAGUUUACAAAUACAAGUCUCCACCACCACCAGUUUACCACUACAAGUCACCACCACCUCCUCCCCCAGUUUACAAAUACAAGUCUCCACCACCUCCUCACCACUACUAAGCAAUUGCUUCUGAGGUAAUAACACUUGUUCAAUAUACCCACUUCUGCAUGAUAAAACAUAUCUCUAUCAACACAAACUGUCAUGUCUAUCAUGCUAAGUGCCUUCACUUCAUCCACCAAAAUGACUGCUAGAAAAUUUUUUUUAUGUUACCAAAGAAAGGCAUCAUUUUUUCCCUCUGUUAUCAAGAACUUGUACAGUAUAUAGAUUAAAGAGUUUUUUUUUAACUAGCUUAUCAACUUAGAAAUGCAUAUAGCUGAUAGCCAGCUGAAUAUUUGCAGGCA